UCCGGCUUAUCACCGGCAGUUUCUCUAGAGUGCCCAACUAAAUGGUAGCAACUAGAGACGAGGGUUGCGCUCGUUGCGGGACUUAACCCAACAUCUCACGACACGAGCCGACGACAGCCAUGCAGCACCUGUGUGAAGGUUCUCUUUCGAGCACUCCCUAAUCUCUUAAGGAUUCCUUCCAUGUCAAGGGUAGGUAAGGUUUUUCGCGUUGCAUCGAAUUAAUCCACAUCAUCCACCGCUUGUGCGGGUCCCCGUCAAUUCCUUUGAGUUUUAACCUUGCGGCCGUACUCCCCAGGCGGUCAACUUCACGCGUUAGCUUCGUUACCAAGGAAUUGCUUCCCCGACAACCAGUUGACAUAGUUUAGGGCGUGGACUAC
rnacentral:misc_RNA from 1 species